GGUGCUGGACCCGGGAGGACGCUCGGCCAGAGGAGCUCAGCGUUCAGAGGCAGCGGGGCGGGCGGUGGAUCAAGUCUGUCCAUCCUCUCCCUGGGACGCCCGACCCGCUCCGGGCACACCUCCCGCCAAGAACACCGGAAGAGGGCGCCCAAGCGCGCUCGCCCUAUCUGCUCUACUGACCGUCAGGCGGAAUCAAGCCCAACAGCCCUGCCAUGCAGGGCUGGCCAGAGCGGCUUGCAGGCCCUGUGGGGUUUCAGCUGUGCUUGCCCGGUACACGGCCCGGGCAUUUUGGAGACACUGGCACAACGUCCAGCCCUGGGCAAGGAAGCAGAGAACGAGGGGCUGGGGCUGAGACGUCUAGCGCCCCGCCCCCGCCAGAACUCCAAGUCCAGGGGCCCAGCACAGGGUUCCCAGGAAGAGUCGCCAUGGAGCUGGGGCUUGCGGGCCGUCGGGCGCUGGUCACCGGCGCUGGCAAAGGCAUCGGGCGCAGCUUGGUCCAGGCGCUGCAUGCGGCGGGCGUACGGGUGGUGGCUGUGAGCCGGACCCAGGCCGACCUGGAUAGCCUUGUCCGCGAGUGUCCUGGAGUGGAGCCCUUGUGUGUGGACCUGGCAGACUGGGAGGCCACUGAGCACACCCUGGGCAGCGUGGGCCCCGUGGACCUGCUGGUGAACAAUGCUGGCGUGGCACUGUUGCAGCCCUUCCUGGAGGUCACCAAGGAGGCCUUUGACACGUCCUUUGAUGUGAACCUGAGGGCUGUCAUCCAGGUGUCCCAGGGGCAUGAUUGCACGGGGAGCCCCCGGGGCCAUUGUGAAUGUCUCCAGUCAGGCCUCCCAGCGUGCACUUACCAAUCACACUGUCUACUGCUCUACCAAGGGUGCUCUGGACAUGUUGACCAAGGUGAUGGCCUUAGAGCUCGGGCCGUACAAGAUCCGAGUGAAUGCAGUAAACCCCACAGUGGUGAUGACACCCAUGGGCCAGGCCAACUGGAAUGACCCCCACAAGGCCAAAGGCAUGCUGGACCGCAUCCCACUUGGCAAGUUUGCAGAGAUGGAGAAUGUGGUGGACACCAUCCUUUUCCUGCUGAGUGAUCGAAGCAGCAUGACCACAGGCUCCACUGUGCCCGUGGACGGGGGCUUCCUAGCUACCUGAGCCCGCCCACUCAGCCCCAUACUUAGCCUUCCCCUGCCCUCCAAUAAACCUCAUUCUUCAGC